AGUGAACGCUGGCGGUGGGCUUAACACAUGGAAGUCGAACGGCGAAGCGGUAAGAGUUUUCUUUAACGGGGGGGGGUGGCGGACGGGUGAGGAAAACCUUCGGAACCUACUUUUUCGUGGGGGAUAACGUAGGGAAACUUAGGCUAAUACGGCAUAUUCCCACCGGGUGAAAUCAGGGGACUUUGGAACCUUGUGCGUUGGAGGGGGCUGAGGUCGCGUCAGCUAGUUGGGGGGGUGAAGUCCCACCAAGCCGACGCUCCGUAGCGGGUCUGAUCGGAUGAUCAGCCACACUGGUACUGAGACACGGUGGAGACUCCUACGGGAGGCAGCAGUGGGGAAUAUUGGAGAAUGGGCGCAAGACUGAUCCAGCCAUACCGCGUGGGUGAAGAAGGCCUUCGGGUUGUAAAGCCCUUUUGUUGGGAAAGAAAAGCAGCAGGUUAAUACCCCGCUGUUCUGACGGUACCCAAAGAAUAAGCACCGGCUAACUUCGUG
rnacentral:rRNA from 1 species